UACAGAGGGUGCGAGCGUUAAUCGGAAUUACUGGGCGUAAAGCGCGCGUAGGCGGCUUUGCAAGUCGGGUGUGAAAUCCCCAGGCUUAACCUGGGAACUGCAUUCGAGACUGCAUUGCUAGAGUAUGGGAGAGGGAAGUGGAAUUUCCGGUGUAGCGGUGAAAUGCGUAGAUAUCGGAAGGAACACCGGUGGCGAAAGCGGCGCGCUGGAUCUCUUCUGACGCUGAGGCGCGAAAGCCAGGGGAGCGAACGGGG
rnacentral:rRNA from 1 species